AGGUAUAGUUAUCGUGUGAUACAAUCCCUCUAUCGAGAGUUCUGACUUGACGAAGGUCAUGGAGAACUCGUCAAACCCCAUCAUCAGUUAUAUGCUAGAUUAACUCCACUCAAGUUCAUUUGUGAAUCUCAUGAAAAUUCUUUUUCAGUAUUCAUACUUACUCUGAUCAGAGAUUUUUUAAACUCAGUCUUACGAAUCGCAUAGGACUUCUUCUUUUCUACCAA
rnacentral:lncRNA from 1 species